rnacentral:rRNA from 1 species
GUUUGCCUCAAAGUUUAGACCCAUACCCGAAACCGUACCGAACUCGAGCGUUAUUGUCUAGACAGCUACAAAUACUAGUACUUCACUGGGAACCAUAGCUAAUGCGCUGUA